GAUGAACGCUAGCUACAGGCUUAACACAUGCAAGUCGAGGGGUAACGAGAGGAAAGCUUGCUUUCCUUGUCGACGACCGGCGCACGGGUGAGUAACGCGUAUCCAACCUGCCCCCAACUAGGGAAUAACCUUGCGAAAGUAAGACUAAUACCCUAUAAUUUCCUCAGAUGACAUCUGACGAGGAAUAAAGAUUUAUCGGUUGUGGAUGGGGAUGCGUCUGAUUAGCUUGUUGGCGGGGUAACGCGCCACCAAGGCAACGAUCAGUAGGUGUUCUGAGAGGAAGCUCCCCCACAUUGGAACUGAGACACGCUCCAAAUACCUUCGGGAGGCAGCAGUGAGAAAUAUUGGUCAAUGGGCAGAAGCCUGAACCAGCAAAGUAGCGUGUAGGAUGACGGCCCUAUGGGUUGUAAACUGCUUUUAUACAGGAAUAAAGUUAGCCACGUGUGGUUAUUUGUAGGUACUGUAUGAAUAAGGACCGGCUAAUUCCGUGCCUGCCGCCGCGGUAA
rnacentral:rRNA from 1 species